rnacentral:rRNA from 1 species
GAAAAGAAACCAACAGGGAUUGCCUCAGUAACGGCGAGUGAAGCGGCAAUAGCUCAAAUUUGAAAUCUGGCCGCAAGGUCCGAGUUGUAAUUUGUAGAGGAUGUUUCGGGUACCGCCACGGUUUAAAUCGCUUGGAACAGCGUGUCAGAGAGGGUGAGAGUCCCGUCUUGGACUGUGGUAGGGCCCAUGUGAAACUCCUUCGACGAGUCGAGUUGUUUGGGAAUGCAGCUCAAAAUGGGUGGUAAAUUUCAUCUAAAGCUAAAUAUUGGCCAGAGACCGAUAGCGCACAAGUAGAGUGAUCGAAAGAUGAAAAGCACUUUGAAAAGAGAGUUAAACAGUAUGUGAAAUUGUUGAAAGGGAAGCGCUGGCAACCAGACUCGAGCGCGGCGGUUCCCCCUGGCUUCUGCCUGGGCUACUCCGUCGUGACCGGGCCAACAUCAGUUUCGGGGGUCGGUUAAAGGUUUCGGGAAUGUAUCCACGCCUUCGGGGGUGGACUUAUAGCCCGGGACGUCAUGCGACCACCUGGGACUGAGGAACGCGCUUCGGCGAGGAUGUUGGCGUAAUGGUUGUCAGCGGCCCGUCUUGAAACACGGACCAAGGAGUCUAACAUCUAUGCGAGUGUUCGGGUGUCAAACCCUUGCGCGCAAUGAAAGUGAACGGAGGUAGGAAGGCGUACGCCUGCACUAUCGACCGAUCCUGAUGUCUUCGGAUGGAUUUGAGUAAGAGCAUAGCUGUUGGGACCCGAAAGAUGGUGAACUAUGCGUGAAUAGGGUGAAGCCAGAGGAAACUCUGGUGGAGGCUCGCAGCGGUUCUGACGUGCAAAUCGAUCGUCAAAUUUGCGUAUAGGGGCGAAAGACU